rnacentral:rRNA from 1 species
AGAAAAGUUUCAACAAGACUCUACCAAAACUAAACAAACUAGCAAGACAAAACCAAACAAUUACCUAAGUACCUUAAGGGAACGCUUGAAAUAUAAUUAAAAUAAAAAACAUAAAAGGAGGCAUCCCAUACCUUUUGCAUCAUGGCUUAACAAGAAAAUCACGAGAAAAACUCGAACACCCGAAAGGUCGUGAGCUAACUUCUCCUGCCAAAGAACUAAUCCUCUACUGUUGCAAUAGUAGAGAAAAAGGAAAAGUUAGAGGUAAAACACCAAUCGCACCACCUGAUAACUGGUAUUCGGAAAAAGAAGUAUAAGCUCCUUUUACCUAAACAACAAGUCUAACGUUACAACAAACAAAGAUCACUUUCCAGUAAAAACAGAGGACAGAAGACAAGUUCUACCCUCAAAAGGGAAACAACCCUCAGCGUAAGCAAAGUCAUCAAAAAAAGGGGAAAACAACCAAAGUAGGCCUAAAAGCUGCCAACCAAAGAGAAAGCGUUAAAGCUCAAAUCUAUUAUCCCAGGAAUCCCUGCUACCAAAUCUACUCUUCGCUAUAGGUAUCCGAAAAAAACAAUGUUAAGAUAAGUAAAAAGAAACUCCUCUCGAACUCACAAAGACACUCUAAUUCUUCAACCAAAUAGAGCAAAGCACAAGAAAGCUCCCCCAUAUCAUCCUACCAACUCAGGCGUGAGAAAUAAAGAUCGGAGAACCAGGAGGAAAGGAACUCGGCAAAACAGAAAAAGGACUGUUUACCAAAAACAUAGCUCUUUGAAUAUUUAAAGGGUCCAGCCUGCCCAGUGGCUUAAAGCUAAACGGCCGCGGUAUCUUGACCGUGCAAAGGUAGCAUAAUCACUUGUCUUUUAAAUGGAGACUUGUAUGAACGGCGAAACCUUUUUCAACUGUCUCUCCUCCCACCCUUCAAAAUUUCUUUCCGUGUGAAGAAGCACAGAUAUACCAGAAAGACGAGAAGACCCUGUCGAGCUUUAACCAUUAAGUGAACACUCCUAUUUACUUAGAUAUCACCUAAAGGUUUUGGUUGGGGCAACCGUGGAGAAAAAAAAUCCUCCAGAAUAAAUAGAAGAAAACCCUUCACUAAUUAUCAACUACUUAAAGAACCAGGAACUGGUAUUCGGAAAAAGUUACCGCAGGGAUAACAGCGUUAUCUCCUCUGAGAGUCCUUAUUGACGAGGAGGCUUGCGACCUCGAUGUUGGAUUGGGGCCCCCUUAGGGUGCAGAAGCUCUAAACGGUUAGACUGUUCGUCUAUUAAAGCCCUACAUGAUCUGAGUUCAGACCGACGCAAGUCAGGUCAGCUUCUAUCUUCUUCAAGAUCUUCCUAGUACGAAAGGACCGGAAAAUCCCUUUAAAUGGCCAUCCCCAAAAAGGACAUUUUUUAUCAAAUUUUCACAAAAUUUCACCUCUAAAACCCAAAUCCAAACCCCCAUCCCAUCCCACAGAAUCUUCCGCAAGGCUCAAAAUCCCACACAAAAAGUAUUUCUAAAAAUCUUUACAAGGGGGGGACCUUACAAUUUUUUAUAUUUUAAAAAUC